rnacentral:rRNA from 1 species
AUGAGUGACUCCACGAGAUGUGAGGAAGAGUGUUCACUUCCCAAAAUUCCACAUAAUGAGAGUGAUACGAGAGGUGAGGUGAGUGAGUCCACCAAAUAUGAGGAUCAUAUUGUUAAACAUGAGAUUAGAGAGAUGGAAUAUCUCCACCCAAGUAUACCUCACAUUCAGCGAGAGAGAAUUAGUGAGUUGUGUGAGUCCACCAAAUAUGAGGGUGAAGUAAUCCAGCACAAGAUUAGAGAAAUGAGUGAACCACAACAUAUUAUACCACACCAUCAAAGUGAGAGGAGUAGUGAGUUGUGUGAGUCCACCAAAUAUAAGCUUGAGGUGUUUACACACAAUAUAAAAGAACCGAGUGAUCCACCAAAUGAAGGGAGAGAAGACUAUUCAAUUGCUAACCAUUCAUAA